CAGUCGCCACGGGAAUACGUAGGUGGCAAGCGUUGUCCGGAAUUAUUGGGCGUAAAGGGCUCGCAGGCGGUUUCUUAAGUCUGAUGUGAAAGCCCCCGGCUCAACCGGGGAGGGUCAUUGGAAACUGGGAAACUUGAGUGCAGAAGAGGAGAGUGGAAUUCCACGUGUAGCGGUGAAAUGCGUAGAGACGUGGAGGAACACCAGUGGCGAAGGCGACUCUCUGGUCUGUAACUGACGCUGAGGAGCGAAGGCGUGGGGAGCGAACAGGAUUAGAUACCCGGGUAGUCCCUGUCUCUUAUAA
rnacentral:rRNA from 1 species